rnacentral:rRNA from 1 species
UGCUGGAGGUAUCAGAAGUGCGAAUGCUGACAUAAGUAACGAUAAAGCGGGUGAAAAGCCCGCUCGCCGGAAGACCAAGGGUUCCUGUCCAACGUUAAUCGGGGCAGGGUGAGUCGACCCCUAAGGCGAGGCCGAAAGGCGUAGUCGAUGGGAAACGGGUUAAUAUUCCCGUACUUGGUGUUACUGCGAAGGGGGGACGGAGAAGGCUAUGUUGGCCGGGCGACGGUUGUCCCGGUUUAAG